rnacentral:lncRNA from 1 species
CAAUGCUGAAACUUACAUAUGUAAGGAUGGUGUUGAUUCAAAUUUCAAUGUUUAUAUACUCAAUACUUACUGCAUGUCGCUUGCAGACAAAUUUUGCUUUACAACUGCACAUAGUAUCAUUCCAUUUACCAUUGACAUACAUGUGACAACAGUUUUCGCCUUGAUUUUUGUGAUUAUUCGGUUCCCCGGUAUUCCAAUUAGAGUAAGUCAAAGGUGAGUAAUCAUAUGACCAGAGCCAAGUUCCUGCAUCAAAAUUUGUUGCUCCAAUCCAGCAAAGUUGAGUACCUGCAGAACAAAAAUGUGUCUUUCAAUUUUUCUUACUCGGAACAGGUGUUAACAUGCAACAGGGUAAACAUGUUUUAUGACAAUCCUAGUCAGUAAAGAUUAGGAUUUAGUGCCCCCGCACGGUUUGGGUUCAAAGUCACAACCUCAGUGUUGACUGACUUUAUUUAUAGCUAGUAAUUACAGUAGUAGAACUACUCAGAACACAUCGCCACAAAUAUGUAUAGCUAGUAAUUAUAGUAGUAGAACUACUUAGAACACAUGGCCACACACCCCCUUCCGAGAAUACGAAAAAACACUAAGCUACAUAAAAAUGAUAAACAUGAACUAAAAAAGAACUACUAGCAGUUACUGAUAUGCUAGCUCAAAACCUCAAUCAAGUCAUUAAAAAAGUAUGUCUUCGUCGUAUGAAAAUCAAGCACAAUCCAUCUAGUAGGAUUUAAUUAUCAUAGCAUCACAAUAUAUACGAGUGGAACCUAACCCGUACCAUGCAUGCAAACAACUUGUUUUUGAAUGAAUGUUUUGUAUUUCAAUGCAAUGGGACUAUGAGUAUCAUUAUUAAUCCC